rnacentral:rRNA from 1 species
GAUGAACGCUAGCUACAGGCUUAACACAUGCAAGUCGCGGGACCGGCGCACGGGUGAGUAACGCGUAUCCACCCUGCCCUUCACCACGGGAUAACCCGGCGAAAGUCGGACUAAUACCGUAUGGUGAAGGAUGGGGUUGCGUCCGAUUAGCUUGAGGGCGGGGUAACGGCCAACCGUGGCUACGAUCGCUGGGGGUGCUGAGAGGAAGGUCCCCCACACUGGAGCUGGGACACGGUCCAGACUCCUACGGGAGGCAGCAGUGAGGAAUAUUGGUCAAUGGGCGUAAGCCUGAACCAGCCAAGUAGCGUGCAGGACGACGGCCUAUGGGUUGUAAACUGCUUUUAUGCGGGGAUAGGUACCGCAUGAAUAAGGACCGGCUAAUUCCGUGCCAGCAGCCGCGGUAAUAC